AGUUAGCUGAAAAAAUUUCAAGUAACUGAUCAUUACAGAUUCAACCAUGCAAGCCGAGUACUGUGGGGAAAUUCAGUGCAGGGAUAAAAUAGUAAUUUUAAAAUUCAAAAUUAUGAUUUUACAGUGAAAAAAUAUUAAUUAAUCUAAUUAAUUAAUAUAAAUUUAUCCUACACUAAGAUCUAAAUAUGAUAUAUAGCAUGCAUGUAUUUAAAUUUGAAAUUCGAAUUUGAAUAGUAAACACUUUACUGUAAUGUGUUCAGAACACAAUACCUUUGUGCGGGUAGUAGAUCGCCGCAAUCUGAUCACCGU
rnacentral:lncRNA from 1 species